UCGAAACUGAAAACGAAACUGGCAGGUUGCGGAUCGAGUGUUUAUUAAUUUUUAAGCAAUAUUCGCAGACUAACUUUGCUCCGCCGGAAUUAGUUAGUCAUAAAUUAAAAGCCCGCCGGUCCGAACAGCACUUCUCUCAGAAUUUGGUAUUUCAGCCAACGAACAGAAAAAAAACCAAAUGCUGAGAGAAAAGUGAAACGAAAAGCGAAUAUACACAAAAACGCUGGUGAAUUCGAAGGAAAAGUGCUAAAUUCACAAAUAAAACAGCAAGAUUAACGCCAAAGUGUCGGAGGAAAAGCCAACUGCUGUCUGUGCGGCGGCGUCUCGGUGAAUUUUCCGUUUUCCGACCCCGCGACGAGGGUGGAAAACGCGUGAAAAACCGAAACGAAAAUCCUGCGUAUGUGUGCAAAUAAUGUGAAUAAAAAUCGCCUGGAAAAAUCAAAGAGUUUGCCAAAAAAUAAAAAAAAUAUACAAAUUUGGUUGCAACGAGAAAAUGGGAGAAAAGGCGAAAUGUCCGAUGGGCGAUUUUUAGUGCGGGAGCAGCUCAAAAAUCCAGUUUCGGGCUGCAAGGCGUGUCAGGAUUGAAAUCGAACCACCACCACCAACAAAAACCAGCAGCAGCGGCAGCAACAACAACAACAAAAACAACCGCUUUGAGCCAAUUUCGUUGGCCCUUUUCCUGGUUAUUCCUGUUUGACUUCAUUUUCACCCAGCUUUCGCCGCAGAAUUUCGCAUUUCGGAAGACAAAAUGUCGACGCGCUCGCAAUUAACCAAGGACCUCAACGAAAGCGUCAAAUCCAUACUGGGUCGCCACACAAAGAUACUCGUCAAGUAUAUGGUCAAAUUGGAGACGAAAGGCGAUAAGACGGAGAAUCGUGUUCUGGUUUUUACUCCCGUGAGGGUCUAUCUGCUCAGUGCCAAAGUGCCCACCAAGAUCGAAUGCCAUUUCCACUACCUGGACAUUGUGGGGGUCGAGAGCAAGAAGUCCACCCACUUCUCCAUUAUUACCAACGAUCGGCCAUACUCGUUCGUCACCACCGGCGAUGCGGGCAAUUUCAGCUCGAACGCUGAUGUCAUUCUGACCGAUCUGGCCUCGGCCAUCAAGCAGAUAUUCCCAACAGUUCCUCUAAAAUACAUUAUCCGAAAGGUUGAUAUACAGCCGCCGGAGCGGGAAACCAUCUUCUCUGAGGAAUUCCGGCCCUCCGAUCCGAGAAAUGUGGGUCCUUGUGGGGGAUUCAGUGCUCAGUACGCCUGCAUGUGCGACUUCCAUGGGGUUCCGUAUCGCGAGGAGGUGGCCUGGGAUGUGGACACCAUCUACCUGUCUCACGACACGCGAGUUCUCAACCUGCGCGACUUUGACCACCUGGAACCAAAAGACUUGAUGGCCAUCGUUUCGGCGCUGGAGUACAACACGUUUUUUCGUGGCCUGAAGGCGGCCCAUAUGCGAUUGUCGCACGAGACCCUGGAACGCAUCCUGCAUGUCCUUAAGCGUUCGAUGUGGCUGGAGGAGCUGCAUCUGGAGGCAUUGGGCUUAAGAUGGGAUUUCCUGAACAAGUUAUCUUUAUCUGUGAUAACGAAUAGCAAUCCCGCCAUUCGCACCAUCGAUCUGAGCCACAAUAUAAUUGAGGAUAAAGGAGCAAGUUCAUUGUGCGCCCUAUUUGGAAAGAUUGUACAAGGUGCCAUUCAUCUAUCCGGACCCAUAGCCAAGGUGUCCAAGGGCCUGUGCAAACUGGCCCUGUCCCACUGCGGACUCACUUCGAAGGGAGUCAACCAGAUGUCGCACUCGCUGACGCUCAAUCAAAGUAUUUCCAACUCGCUCACGUAUCUAGACCUAAGUGGUAAUAGUCUUAAAGAUGAUAUAACCAAUCUGCACAAUUUUCUGGCUCAACCCAACGUGCUGGAGCACUUGGAUCUGGCCUCGACUGACAUCACGCUGGAAAAUUUAUUUGGAGCUCUGUUGCGCGGCUGUGCCACGCAUUUGGCCCACCUGAACGUCUCGCACAACUCGUUCAGCACCAAGAAGGGCAAGGAGAUCCCGCCCUCGUUCAAGCAAUUCUUCACCAGCACCUUCAGCUUGAAGCACCUCAACAUAGCCGGCUGUAAGCUACCCAUGGAGGCCCUGAAGAACCUGCUGCUCGGCCUGGCCUGCAACGAGUCCACAGCUGGGCUUUACCUGGAUCUCAGCAGCAACACGCUGGGCGCCCAAGGUGCCCAUGUGCUGGAGUCCUGCAUCCACGGAGUGCGAGUGCUGCAGAGUCUGGACAUCAGCGAUAACAAUCUGGAUGCUGAGCUGGCGCCCGUGCUGACGGCCAUUUCGAAGAACCCCUCGAUUCGGACGCUACAUCUGACCCGCAGUCUCACGGGCAUGAAGCCUAAGCACAUCCCGCCCGUCAUGGACGCCCUGGUUAACCUCAUCCAGAAGGAUGACUUCCCGCUGGCCGAGCUGGUGCUGUCGGAGAACAAACUGAAGCAUGAUCUGCACGACUUCAUCAACGCGUUGGGCAGCAACCAAAGUCUCCAGAAGCUGGACAUCAGUGGCAACUUCAUGGGUGACGUGGGCGCCCGCCUCCUGGCCAAAGCUUUGCAGAUCAACAACCGGCUGCGGACCAUUUACAUGGACAAGAACGGAGUGACGCUGCAGGGCUAUGCGGACAUAGUAUAUGCGCUGGAGCACAACCACAGCAUGCGCACCAUACCCUUUCCUGUCUUCGAUAUCGCACCGCAUUUGAAGAGUCAUCCGGACAAGACGGAUGCGGUGAUGCGGAAGAUGCAGGAGCUUCUGCAGCGAAACUGCAACGGUUUGAAGAGGGGAGCGGGACAGGGAUUCCGGCUGCAGCACGGCUUCAUGCUCUCCUCCACGCAUCAGCUGGUCGAUAAAUUGGUGGCCGAGACCCAGGACACCAUUUCGUUGGCCAAGGGAGGAAGUGAUUCCGCUUCGGCGGUACAGCGAUUGAUCACCGAUGCCGAGAACUGCAAGCAGCUGAUGCCCAAGCUGCAGGAAGCCGUUCGCAACGAAAGCCAUCCCAUCGAGAUGAAGCUAACCCGAGUGGCCAGCGAACUGAGCUACACGAUCAAGAGCUAUCUGGAGGAGACGCUGGAGACUAUGAUGCGGACUGGGAUCGAGCAGUGUCCCAAAACGCUGGGCAACCAGAUCGUAGUGCAGGACCUUCGAAAAGGUCUAGCCGAACGUCUGGUGGUUCCCGAAGAAUUUCUGCAGAUCUGUUUACUCAACAACGCCGGCAGCGAGAUCAUGAACAAAGUUGGUGAGAUUGAACAAUCCCUGGCCGCCGCCAUCUCAGAUCGGGCCACAGACGAGGUGCUAGAGGCCCUGACUCGCUAUCGCCGUGGCAUGGGCAUCGCGGAGUCGCCAUCGGUGCUGCUGGACGAGCCGCAGACGCCGGACAUCGUGCGCAGUCGCUCCAGUCAUGAUGCGGAUGGUUUGAUCAUUCGGCCGGGUGGACGAGGCUCGAUAUUGCCCAAACUGGGCUUGGAAUCGCCCACUAAAUUGGAAUAUCUCAACCUUGCCACUCCGCAUCUGCCCACCAAGCGACGCAGUCAGGUGAAGAAGGUGCGUCCCCAGUCCGUGGUGGAGAAUCUCAGCCUGGGCCACUUCCCUGACCUUCUGGAGUCGCCCUCCUCGCACCGCUCCAGUUCCCAGUUGUCUGCCCGUGCAGCUUCCGGUGCCGUCGCCUUGGCGGGGGCGACCAACAUGACUGACAGUAUCGCGGUCAUGGACGAUGGGGGUGUGGAUGAGUGCUGCGACUCGAUCACUGAGCUGCCCAGCGCCUCAUUCCAACUGCAGCACCUGGUCAAAGGACGGCCGAAGCGGGCCAAGACGCGUGCACCCACCCGUCCCUUGGUCAGUGCAGAGUGUGCCGGGGGCAGCAGGGAGAUCGGCGAGGGUCUGGAGCAUUUCUUCCGGCCCGGAUCGGUGACUCCCACCACUCUGACUCCCUUGGUCUCGCCCACGUCUGAGGAAUGCAGCUCUUUGUCGUUCGUGGACAGUCCCACGAUGAGCCGCGAUGGCAAUGGGCACAUGACCUCUGAGGAGACCACGCCCAUUCUAGAGGAGCGCCGACCAAUCAAAUUGGAGCGCCAGUCGCCAUUGCUCAAGAGUGCCUCAUGGGCCACCCGUUCACGGUCUACGGACAAUCUGGAGAAGUAUUCACCGCUGGUGGGACGCAAAUCGCCCCUGGUCAAGAUGCGAACAGAAGGCGGUCCAGGCUCAGGAUCUGUCGGCGGCCCUGAAGAGACAGCGUUGCCCAGCUCUAAUCUUCUGAAGGCCACCGCGCGGGAGGACAAAACCCGAUCGCCAAGCAGCGAUUCGAUCAAGAGCCAUGCCACCGGCGAGGGUAGCGUAAUUGUGAAGACGGGUAAUGGCAUUCUGCGAACGCCCAUCGUGCUGCAGAAACCUCGACCAUGGUCGGUGGUGGGCAGCGAGCCGAAGACAAGCGGGGAGCUGAUCACAGGCAAUGGUAAUGCCGACUCCAGCAAGACCACGCCGGAAAGACUGGAAGAAGAUGACGUUGAGGUAGUGACCUUUGGAACGAACUGCGGUGGCUCCAUUGUUGGCAUCACGCCGGGAAUAGCCUUAUCAUCCGUUGGCGGUGGCAGCAUUGUGGGCAUUACUCCAGGAGCUGCCCUAGAAAAGAAGUCUGUGCGAGAACUUGCAGCGGGUCUCAAUAGAAUGGAAAUCCCCUUCAAGCCGCCAGUUAUGCCUAGAACCCUGCUGAGCGCAGCAAGUGCCCGCACGAGCACCUCCUCCACGGGCUCCACCUCCAAUGGUGGGUCAGUAGUCACAUCCAGCACAUCGACGACAGUAUUAAACCAGAGCCAGACGCGAUCGAGGAUCGUGAGCUCCACGAGUAGCACUGGCAGCACUGAGACCAUCACAGAGCACAGCAGCAGCAGCACAAGCACCUCAUCCAGCAGCCACGAGAACCAGCAUGCCAAGGCCUGUGCGAGUCUGAUCAGCAACGAGAUCCUGAGCAUGCGCAACGGGCAGUUGGCGGCCAAGUCUGGAAGUUGCGCGGAGAGCAGCGGCGUGAAGCGGAUCGCCGGCAAGGAGAUCUCAACGCUAUUCGAGGUUUGAUCUCCGAGGCUGGAGCUGCAUUGGGAUAGCUUGCAUUGAUCACCGCUCAAAAUUUAAUGGCCUCGUUGCUUCGUUGAUUUCGGUGCUCAUCUCCUGUGCGUCCAUCAUCCGCAUUUGUUACUUAGUGUGUAGUCGUUAAGUUGUGUCCACUAGCCAGUAAGCCGCAUGUUGCCUGUACUCCAUCUAGUUUGUGAGACAUUAGUUGAAGAACUGCAGCAGAGCAUGGCGAACAGACGCAUGUUUAGAGACUCGCCCUACACCAAGGAGGAUGUCGUUGAUUUAUAAGUGUUCUAGUUAUAUGCUCAACAUUCCCUCAACAUUCGACCCCUAGUCCUCCACCCAACCUGCCACAAGUUCGCGUGAUCGAUCGUAGGGGUGAUGAUAAGUUUAAGUGAUGAUGAUGAUGAGAUGGGGACAGAUGGAUAGAUGGAAACGAGGUUGCAACUUAUUCGUACUGAACCAUUAAUUUAUGUGCAAUGGCGCGUGUGUUGUUUUUAUUUGGCAAUUUAGAAUGAACGUGAUUUAUUUAUUGAUAUAUACCCUGAUACUUUUAUCCAAAUUAACCUUUGCAUAUUUUUAAAGAUGUUUUGUGUACUAUAUUUUAUAUUUUUAUGUAUUUUAAAUGAGUUAAGUGCCAAUUAUAUACAGAAUUAACCUAAAUCUAUUUUUAGCACGUGCUAUACAACAAUUUCAAUGAAACUAACGAAGAUAACGCAAUGAAUAUGAUACACUAUACAUAUUAUGUAAUUCGAUUGCGUGUAUAAGAACUAUUUUAAUGGCCUAAACCUAAACAAAUCUAAAUGAAAUAUAAUAUUUUUUAUAACUGCUUCCAAAUACAAA